rnacentral:lncRNA from 1 species
CUUUCUUUUUUUAGGGCUAUACCCACAGCAUAUGGAAAGUCCCAGGCUAGGGGUUGAAUUGGAGCGAGGCUGGGGAUGGAACCCGCAUCCUCAUGGAUGCUAGUCAGGUUCUUAACCUGCUGAGCCACAGUGGUAACUCCCAAGUUCUCUUUAUUUCUUAUUUGACAGUACACUUUUCAAUGUUCACAACCACCCUGAUUUGAUUAUUUUAAAGUUCAGAUGGUCGUUUGUGGAAUUCCUUAAAAUGGGGCCUGUCUAUGCAUCUUCAUAUGGGAUUAGUAAUCACGGCACAGCUUGGGGUGUCCUAAUUUUCCCUCCACUACCAUCCCCUCACAAACAUUAACCGAGAGGCCGGCAAUUUCCAAGCAUGUUUAUAUUAUAAAAACAGCAUUUACAUCUACAUAAAUAGCUUUCCUGGGCACAAAAUACAAAAUGAAUCUAUCACUGUUAUUUCCUAUUAUAUUCCAGGAUAUUGCCUUGCUAAAUCGCAGUCCCUAAAACCCACAGGGAAAAAAUAACACAAACCGCCUACCUUUUCCACUGCAAGGUACACGGGCUGAAACAUGCCGUUACAUAAAUAUGCCUCUGCUAAUUAAUUAGAGCUGGCCAUAUUCAUUUUUCUAAAGUAAGAAAUGAAACCAAAUAGUGUAAUUUACUUUUUUUUUGUCCUGCUCUAGUUAAAAUUAAAAAAAGGCCAGAAUAAACUCAGCUGAAGAAUGUUGCUUACAAUUCUUUUUUUCUAAUUUUUCAAAUCAAUGGGUAUUAAAAAAAACCCAACACCCUCAUAUUCAGUGUGUUGUUGGUUUUACAUGAUAGGGCGGCUAAUUAAAACAACUGCAUAUCCUGGCACAUUCCAGUAUUCAGUUUAUGAUUGUGAAAAGGUCACAUACUUGAAAAUAAAGUUUGGUACGCCUCCCGUAUUUAGCUCAAUAAUCACAGAGCAUGUUUAAAAAUAAUUUCCAGUUCUCUCUUCCAAGCAGCUUCUUUUCGUUUCCCUGUUUUCUCGUGACUGCUCAUCAAUCCACCUCUCUUCCUUGAGAUGGUCAGACUUACUCAGGCCCUCCAAAUGUCUUGGCAACCUGACAGUUUUGUGCAGGGCAUUAGAAAACAAGAAUUCACGUUUGAUUCUUGUAAAAACAAAACAAAAUUCUAGAAAAAUACAAUUCCAGAACUAGGAUACUUAGCUAAGAUCCACACAGUAUCAGUGGCAUUGAUCUUCCAGGUAAAUGUGACAAAGAAAGAGACUUUUAAGCCGCUGCUCCUUGGCUAAGGAGAGAAUGUCCUGGCCUCUAGUUGGAUGGUCUCUGGAUGCAUUCGGGGCAUCCGUUGGUCCCAUCUCCCAUCCCAAGCCACCCCACCCCCAACACAACCGGAGCUUCAUCUGAUCUUUUCAAAAUGAAUCAUAACCUCAGGACAAGCCUCCAUCUUUUCAUGCUAUUGAUGUCUGGUUAACCCAUCAGGGUCAGCAUAUCCUCCAGUUUCUCCCACGUCUAGAAACACUCACUGCUUCAUGCUUCCAAGCCUUUACCAUAUGUCGUUUCAAACUGCUCCUCGGUUUCAGGACUUCUGCUCCGUAUCUUAAAAUGUUGGUGGAUACUCUGCCUCCUGUCUGUCCAAGGUCUGGUAGGCUAACGUUUGUUGGUUAUGCAGCAUCACUUACGUGAUGUCAGUCCAAAAUAAACAAGGACUCAGGGACUUCGCAGACUCAGCACGAGGUUGCUCACUUCUUACAUGUGGCAUUGCCUUCUCAUGACCCUUUAAUAGUCUUAUACAGGGAUGUAAAAACAGGCCAUCAUUAUAAAAGUAUAGCUAGAACUGGAGACAAUUACUAGUACUUGACUAGAGGAAAGGAAACAACUUGUUAUACAUAAUUCAAAGGAAAUCUUGAACACUCCCUAACACCAUACACAAAAGUAAACUCAAAAUGGAUUAAAGACCUAAAUAUAAGACCGGAUACUAUAAAACUCUUAGAGGAAAACAGGCUGAACACUCUCCAACAUAAACUGCAGCAAUAUCUUUUGAGAUCCACCCCCUAGAAAAAUGAACAUAAAAGCAAAAGUAAACAAAUAGGACCUAAUUAAACUUAAAAGUUUUUGCUUAGCAAAGGAAAUCAUAAAAUAGUCAAAAAGACAACUUGCAGAAUGGGAGAAAAAUCUUUGCAAAUGAAGCAACUUACAAGAGAUUAAUCUCCAAAGUAUAAAGACAACUCAUUUAGCUCAAUAUAAAACAAACAAACAAACAAAACAAAAACAGGCAACACAAUCAAAAAGUGGGCAGAAGAUCUAAAUCGACAUUUCUCCAAAGAAGACAGAGGGCCAAAACACACAUGAAAAGAUGCUCAGCAUCACCAAUUAUUAGAGAAAAACAAGUCAAAACUACAAUGAGGUAUCACCUCACAGCAGUCAGAAUGGUCAUCAUCAAAAAUCUACAAACAGGAGUUCCUAUUGUGGCUCAGUGGUUAACAAAUCCGACUAGGAACCAUGAGGUUGCACGUUCGAUCCCUGGCCUUGCUCAGUGGGUUACGGAUCCGGCAUUGCCAUGAGCUGUGGUGUAGGUUGGAGACGUGGCUCAGAUCUGAUGUUGCUGUGGCUCUGGCAUAGGCCGGCGGCUGCAGCUCCGACAGAACCCCUAGCCUGGGAACUUCCAUAUGCUGCAGCCCUAAAAAAAAAAAAAAAAAAAAAAAAAAAAAAAAGCCCCCCCCAAAAAAAAUCUACAAACAAUAAAAUGCUGGAGAGGGUGUGGAGAAAAAGGAACCCCCCUACACUGUUGGUGGGAAUGCAAAUUGGUACAACCUCUAUGGAGAACAGUAUGGAGGUUCCUCAAAAACUAAAUAUAGAACUACCAUAUGAUCCAGCAAUCUCACUCCUGGGCAUCUAUCCAGAGAAAACUGUAAUUCAAAAAGAUAUAUGUAAGUUGCCUUUUUUGUUUUCUCUUUGGUUUCCUUUCCUGUGCAAAAGCUUUUCAGUUUGAUUAGGUCCCAUUGGUUUAUUUUUGCUUUUAUUUCUGUUGCUUUGGGAGACUGACCUUAGAAAACACUUGUAAGGUUGAUGUCAGAGAAUGUUUUGCCUAUGUUCUCUUCCAGGGGUUUGAUGGUGUCCUGUCUUAUACUUAAGUCUUUGAGCCAUUU